rfam:Salmo salar isolate Sally breed double haploid chromosome ssa12, whole genome shotgun sequence.
GAUUAUACAGUUUGUAAGUCGCUCUGGAUAAGAGCGUCUGCUAAAUGACUUAAA